rnacentral:misc_RNA from 1 species
GAUGAAGAACGCAGCGAAAUGCGAUACUUGGUGUGAAUUGCAGAAUCCCGUGAACCAUCGAGUCUUUGAACGCAAGUUGCGCCCGAAGCCAUUAGGCCGAGGGCACGCCUGCCUGGGUGUCACACGUCGUUGCCCCCCCAUCUACUCCUUCGGGAUUGCGGGGGGCGGAUGAUGGCCUCCCGUGCGCCUCGUCGCGCGGUUGGCAUAAAUGCCAAGUCCUCGGCGACGCACGCCACGACAAUCGGUGGUUGCGAAACCUCGGUUGCCCGUCGUGUGCGGUCGUCGCGCAUCGAGGGCUCGAAAAAAUUGCCGGGCUCCGGCUCGGCUUUCAACGCGACCCCAGGUCAGGCGGGGUUACCCUCUGAAUUUAAGCAUAUCAAUAAGCGGAGGA